rnacentral:rRNA from 1 species
GACGAACGCUGACGGCGUGCUUUAGACAUGCAAGUCGAACGAGAAAGCCCUUCGGGGUUAGUAAAGUGGCGAACGGGUGAGUAACACGUGGGCAAUCUGCCCUUCGUAGGGGGACAACCGGGGGAAACCCCGGCUAAUACCCCGUAAGCUUGUCGGGUCGCAUGGCCUGACAAGGAGAGGUAGCUUCGGCCAUCCGGCGAAGGAGGAGCCCGCGGUUCAUUAGCUAGUUGGUGAGGUAACGGCUCACCAAGGCUACGAUGUAUAGCUGGUCUGAGAGGAUGAUCAGCCACACUGGGACUGAGACACGGCCCAGACUCCUACGGGAGGCAGCAGUCGGGAAUCUUGCACAAUGGGCGAAAGCCUGAUGCAGCAACGCCGUGUGAGCGACGAAGGCCUUAGGGUCGUAAAGCUCUGUUGUUAGGGACGAAGGGCGAAGGGUUAAUAGCCCUUAGCCUGACGGUACCUUUCGAGGAAGUCCCGGCUAACUACGUGCCAGCAGCCGCCGUAA